rnacentral:rRNA from 1 species
AACUAACGCUGGCGGCGUGCCUAACACAUGCAAGUCGUACGAGAAAGGGUCCUUCGGGACCUGAGUAAAGUGGCGCACGGGUGAGUAGCGCGUGGAUAAUCUACCCUUCAGUUGGGAACAACUCAUCGAAAGGUGGGCUAAUACCGAAUAAUACUGCUCGACCUUGGUCGAGCAGCCAAAGAGAGCCUCUGCUUGCAAGCCCUCACUGAAGGAUGAGUUCGCGUACCAUUAGCUUGUUGGUAGGGUAAUGGCCUACCAAGGCGACGAUGGUUAGCUGGUCUGAGAGGAUGAUCAGCCACACUGGAACUGAGACACGGUCCAGACUCCUACGGGAGGCAGCAGUGAGGAAUCUUGCGCAAUGGGGGAAACCCUGACGCAGCAACGCCGCGUGAGUGAGGAAGGUCUUCGGAUCGUAAAGCUCUGUCAGUUGGAAAGAAAUGUCUGAGAGUCAAUCCCUUUCAGGCUUGACGUACCAA